UGUCAUACCUUGUGGAGGUCACACCUCGAUCCUGAAGGUCAUUGUCUCUAUGAGGCUUAUCCACUGCACUUGGGAGGUACUGCCCCUAUGAUUUACCCAAACAUGAUGAGCUCAACUACACAAUCCCUGAUCAAUCUCGGAGGAAUGCGCUCUCACUCACUCUCC
ensembl:snRNA U1 U1 spliceosomal RNA